rnacentral:rRNA from 1 species
CAAUGCGUGGCAUACGGCUCAGUAACACGUAGUCAACAUGCCCAGGGGACGUGGAUAACCUCGGGAAACUGAGGAUAAACCACGAUAGGCCAAGGUUUCUGGAAUGGACACUGGCUGAAACCUAUAUGGCCCCUGGAUUGGACUGCGGCCGAUCAGGCUGUUGGUGAGGUAAUGGCCCACCAAACCUGUAACCGGUACGGGCUUUGAGAGAAGGAGCCCGGAGAUGGGCACUGAGACAAGGGCCCAGGCCCUAUGGGGCGCAGCAGGCGCGAAAAUUCUGCAAUAGGCGAAAGCUUGACAGAGUUACUCUGAGUGAUGCCCGCUAAGGGCAUCUUUUGGCACCUCUAAAAAUGGUGCAGAAUAAGGGGUGGGCAAGUCUGGUGUCAGCCGCCGCGGUAAUACCAGCACCCCGAGUGGUCGGGACGAUUAUUGGGCCUAAAGCAUCCGUAGCUUGUUCUGCAAGUCUUCCGUUAAAUCCACCUGCUCAACAGAUGGGCUGCGGGAGAUACUACAGGGCUAGGAGGCGGGAGAGGCAAGCGGUACUCAGUGGGUAGGGGUAAAAUCCUCUGAUCCACUGAAGACCACCAGUGGCGAAGGCGGCUUGCCAGAACGCGCUCGACGGUGAGGGAUGAAAGCUGGGGGAGCAAACCGG